rnacentral:rRNA from 1 species
GACAGAGGAUGCAAGCGUUAUCCGGAAUGAUUGGGCGUAAAGCGUCUGUAGGUGGCUUUUUAAGUUCGCCGUCAAAUCCCAGGGCUCAACCCUGGACAGGUGGUGGAAACUACCAAGCUAGAGUACGGUAGGGGCAGAGGGAAUUUCCGGUGGAGCGAUGAAAUGCGUAGAGAUCAGAAGGAACACCCAAGGCGAAAGCACUCUGCUGGGCCGACACUGACACUGAGAGACGAAAGCUAGGGGAGCAAAUGGG